GAAAUUUUCUGGGAAGGGUUUGCUCAAGGUCAGCACACAGAAGCUGUGUUCCAGAGGCGGCUAUGGUUGUAGCUUGUGUUUGGCAGGCUCAGCGUGGUAGUGUAAGCAUCACCCAGGUGGUACUGGUUUUGAAGGCGAGAAGGGAUCAUGCAGAGCAGCCGAGGCUUGGCACUGUGAGAGGCCAGGAGAGGCCAUGGGUGUUGGUGCAGCCUCAGUGGCAGUUGAAGGCUCAGGAUUGAAGGGGUCAUGGAGAGCAGCUGAGGCUUGGCACCAUGAAGAGAGCCCAGGGGAGGCUGUUGACUGAAGUGCAGCCCAGUGGCAGCAGAGAUCUCUGGUAUCAAGAUGCUCUUCUUGGAAUGACCACGAACAACAGCAGCAGUAGUGGAGUGGAAUCAGCCUGAGCUUAGACGACAAGCUGUGUGCUGCAGAGCGCAGAGUCGGAAAGCGACCCCAGCCUUUGGAGGAGCCUCGGAGGAUCCAAGAACCUGCUACCCCAUUGGAAGUGGCCAUCAAACCUCAAUAUCUACAAACAGCAGUUGGGAUGCAGGCCAAGAAACAGUGGCAUUGGUUUGCCUCGAUCCUCAUUGCUGAUCUUCACCGACAAGGCUGUGCGUUGGUUUGCCU
rnacentral:lncRNA from 1 species